rnacentral:lncRNA from 1 species
UUGCUGUAAAAAAAAAUGUCAAGUUUUUCUAUAUUUUUUUUUAAAUAACUUCGCCCUAAGUGUAUCUGAAUUAACUUUUACGUUCAUGUGCAGAAUUAAAAUUUUGUAAUUCUAACUAAAAUUUGUUCACUUAUUAGUUCAAUUUGCUUGUGAUGUAACUAGUUAAGAGCGGCACGAUGCAGCGAGUGUGAGAAUUUUACGGUAAUAAUAUUUGGUAGGGUUUUAUUAUUUUUAUAAAAGGGCAUGCGCAAGAACAAUAUUUUAAACAUCAAGUCUAUCAAUGAUUCGAAAAUAUUAUUAGGUCAAAAGUUACUGGUUGAACCAGCGACACCAGCAUGAUAUUAUAAAUAUUUAUUCAUUACUUUUUAUUUUACGAUAUAUAUAUAUAUAUAUAUAGAACUAGGCUGGAAUAUUAUUAAUAACACCAAUGACUUGGUGGUAUUAAAUUUUCUAUUCUUAGAUUAAAAGAUGUGCGGUUAGGAUGAUGUGGGCUCUCUAGGAUUGAGUGGGUGGUUAGUUGAAUAAUACAAUCGAACGGAUAAAUGAUAAAAGAGGUAAAUCUAACGGCAGAAAACUUGAUAGCAUCAAAUGAUUCGUGCUAUCGAUAGUAUCCCAGCCGGACNAUAUAUAUAUAUAUUAUUCUAAUAUUAUACUUAUUAUAAAAUACUAAUGUCUAGACUAAAUAAGUAAAUAUAUAAGUUUUAAGUUUUACUUUUUAUAAGAUUAAUCUGUGCUAAGUUAAUUUUAAGUCGUUGAAUUUUUAUAUAAUUUACAUUAAAAAAAAAAUU